AACACAGGUAUUUUGUAGUUCUUUAUCACAACGGGUCCUUUGCUGAUGAUUCUAGGUUUUAUGACUGCUGUUUUAUGUCCUACAAAUAGUAACAGGCAUUUCCCUUUGCCCUACACCACAGUAAGCCACUGGCCUAGACAAGAAGCAACUCUGCACUGCUUUUCAAACAUCAUCCUCCCUCUCGACCGCAGGGACUAUUUGGUUUCUAUUCUACUUCUGGCCUUUCAUAUUCCUGAUGGUGCAUUGGAUGAAACCCCGCAGCCAGGCGUGUGAACGUGGUUGAAAAGACCCAUGGAGGACCAGCAACGCUUCCCCACAGCGUGGGAUGGUCCCCUCCUGAGAUGGCCCACUGUCAGCGGGACUGACGCCAAGCACUGCAUCCUGUCUGCUUCUUGAACAGCCCCUUCAUUGUUUGUUCAGCUAUUCUGCUGCAUCUGCAGAUAGCCCUGCCUGAGAAACAGCCUCAAACCAGAAGGAGAGGAUGGCGGCAAGCCUUAGAGAAACAU
rnacentral:lncRNA from 10 species